GAACGCAUCUUGUGCUCCUUGGUAUUCCUUGGAGCAUGCCUGUUUGAGUAUCAUGAGCAAAUCUCAAAGUCAAUUCCUCAAUUGGUUUUGCUUUGGACUUGGAGGUCUUGCAGAUUUCACAGUCUGCUCCUCUUAAAUGCAUUAGCUGGAUCUCAGUAAUUAUGCUCGGUUCCACUCGGCGUGAUAAGUAUCACUCGCUGAGGACACUGUUAAAAAGGUGGCCAGGAAAAUACUGAUUGAACCGCUUCUAACGGUCUAUUAAGUUAGACAAUUACCCUUAAGUUUGAUCUCAAAUCAGGUAGGGCUACCCGCUGAACUUAAG
rnacentral:misc_RNA from 1 species